GGGGUUAUGGCCCAAUGGAUAAGGCGUCUGACUACGAAUCAGGAGAUUCCAGGUUCGACCCCUGGUAACCUCA